UUCUCCAAAAAGAGGAAUUAAAAAGUCAGUUUUUCAAAGUGUCUUCAUUUUCUCUUCCAUUCCUUUUUCAUUUUUAUCUAUUUAAAGGAUAUGAAACGAUGGGUGGGAUUAGUAUGUGAUAUAUUACAUACUGUAAAAAUAACAGAAUUUGGGCAUAUUAUUUUCCUUGUGUAGGAGGGUCUACUAUGAAAGUUAUACAUAAACAUGAAACAUUCCACAUAGCUCUGAUUUUAAAUAGAUUACCAUUUUUGAUGAAAGUUUAUAUCUUGUGGCUUAGAAUUGAAAUAAAAUCACUUGAAGAAAAGCAUUAGUUUGUUCCAAGAUUUUCACAGACAUGUACGUUUCUGCGGCGUACCUCCCAUUAGCAACGUCCCUGAAUACUUGGAUGAAAAGCAGAAAUAAAUCUGUGGUUAAGUUUAGUUUUUAUCUCUAUAGUUUCUCAAAAGUUUUUUUGAUGUAUCCCAAUUCUUACAUUCCAAUCUUCAUUUGUUUUGCCAAAUUCUAUUUCUUAAAGCUAUUACAAUCAGAAAUUAAGGAAAGUUAGUGAAGCUUUUUUUUUCUUUACAGUUAAUCUUCUAAUUUUAACUAUUUGUGAACACAUGUAAAAUUUAUCCAUGUCCCACAAUUAUUCUAACACUACCUAAAUGCACCUUUUCAUAAUCCUAGUGGGAGCCAAUGUCAUAAACCAAAGAAAGAUGCAAUUUUUCUGUUUUGUUCCUUAUUAAUGUAUGAUAAGUAAAUUGUUUCACAAUUCCACUUUCCUCCAUCUGCCCAUAAUAUCAUUCAAUUGCCAAAGUGGACAUCCAGAAGCAAAUAUUCUCUCUUGUUUUUUGGGAGGGGGGCUCUUCCCUAAGCCUGUUUUGAUUGUAUAUUAUUGUCAGUCAGAAAUCUGACACUCUCUUAUUUUCUUUUUUAUCCCCGGCACAAAAUGAAAGAAAAUGAUUCAAAAACCUUCUUGAGGACAAAUAAAAGUUUAUCAGCUUUUAAAAAAAUGUGUGGAUUUUUUUUUAUAAACAUCUGUGUCACCUGUAGUGCCCACCAGCCUCUCAUUCCAAGUCUAGCUGAGUUAAAGUCAGCUUCAACCACAUUUUCCUAUAUCCCAGAUAGCCAAAGGGAAGCGUUUGCUAAAAUGAUUCUGACUCCUUAAUAAUUCUCUGCUUUAUUUAGUCCCGAACACAUGUGUUCCACAAAGAAAAUCAAACUGCGUCGUGACCUUACUAUUUAAGUAAAAAAUAGUUAUAGAUGAUACAUUUUCUUGCUUAUUGCUGAAUACUAUUCCCUUUAGCUCUCCCCUAUCUUUUUUGCAUAUUUUCACUAGAUUGUUUCUCUCUGACAGUUUUCUCAAACAGAGCGGGGUCGUUCAUAUGUAACCUGGACAUACCACAAUUUUAGCCUUCAAAUCGGCUUUUAAGAUAAGAACCACCAGAACCAAGAAACUCAGAGAUGCCUAAGUAAUAUAAUUUUCUUGGUUUUUCUCUGUAGAAUCACCUAUUUUUUUUAGCCAUGAAUUUCUAAAUUGAUAUAAUGAGAAACUCAGGGCCAAAAUAGACAUAUAAACAUUUUAUUCUACUCAUAAUAUUACUAAUGGUAUUAGAUCUAAGACAUUAUAUAAUUUAUCAAAGCCAAAGCUAUAGUUCCCACCAUUAGCAGAUAAAAUAACUUAUUACUCUUUCACUCCCAAUAAUAUAAGCACUUACUCUCUUGAUAUAAACAAAACGAAAUACUUUAGGGAGUAGAUUAAGAAAACAUAGGUGGGUAAUCUUGAACCAAACUGAUAUUUUCUCCACAACUAAAGUCGUAUGUUAUAUUUAAAAUAAAAAGAUUUAAGACAACAGAAAACAAUACCAAGAACUACCACAAAAAUACCUCAUAAGAAAGCAACAUAGAAAAUAAUUAAGGUUCUGAAUGUUAAAAUUAUCUACCUAUUCCUAACCAAAUAAAACAAAUCACUGUCAAAUCACCAUUUGGCUAUGUUCGGCAGAAACAAUUUCUGUCUAAUUUAAUGAUGUUUAACUGUCUGGAAAUUCUUAACAAAUUAGAAUCAGGCUUAUAUUUUCAGUCUCAAAUAAAAAUGUUUCUUUCAUUGCCCAGAAAGGCUUUUGUUGAAAUAGGAAGUUUACUUCUUACUUCUUCAAGUGUAUGUUCCAUCACUGAAGAAGAAAUUCUCUUUUGUGAAAGCUCUGAUCCACGAUAGUUCUAAUUUAAUCCAUGAUAUGUCAAGUUUGACAAAGAUACCUAGCCAUGGUCAGCUGUCAGUAGUAUACUGACAACUUUCUUCAUACAUCACUAUUUCUUAAUGCAAAGGUGGAAAAGUGUUAACUCACUGAAAAUGGUCUGCCUAUGUUGAAAGGUCACUUGUAACAGCAUUGUGGGAAACCAAGCUUUGAACAAUUAUAUCAUUCUUUCAAGAAUUAACAGGUUCUCAAAGAUUUAAAAUAAGCAUAUUGAAUGUCCUUAGUAUCUUUAGUCAAUGGUGAAUAAUUGUAUCCUCCCAGUUUCCUUUCUUCACUUAUUCUUUGAGGUUUUCAGAGACCCUAAACUCACCUUCUGCUGCCGAAAAAGCAGAUUUAGUUCUGAAGGUUAAUCCAACUCAGCAGGAUUGAAGGAUGGCACUUUUCCUUGGUCGUAAGUAUGUUGGCUCAGGCCAGACAGCUGUUAGGACAUUCUCCUCUGGGAAUCGUGCCCUCAACACCCACCGUUGAUGCACAUACAUGGUCUACUGGCUGCCGACUUCCAUGCCCAUCUGCUCAAAUGGCAUGGUGCCCACUCACAAGUUGGCUGGAUUCUUGCCCUUAGUGUGUAGGUGCCAGGCAAUGAUGGGUUUAGAUGGGCAGCCUGCAUAAUACUACAAGUGACAAUUUUUUUUCUUUUUUUCUUUGUACAGUGUCUGUCCUCUGUGCUUCCCUGAAAGAGAAACUUGUGUUUCUCCACCUUCAAUUAUACCUGUGGACACAUGUGGCCUUGUACAGCAAACCCGUGGAGAGGAAUAGAUUGGCAUAGGAGGUUGUGACUUUAAUGAUCCAAAGCAUAUGAAUGCUUGUUAGCAGACAGCAGACAGACAUAAGUAAGAACAACAGUAAUGGCUGCAUCUGCAGCCUGGCCUAUGGCACUAAAACCAAUCAGGCAGCACUGGAGAGCUGUGCCGGAAGAAUAUCCAAGAGGCUGAUCACUUGGUAGUGCCUGGUACCAGGAAGAUACGGUCAAGACUGCCUACAACAGCCAUCAUUCAGAAAGGCUAGACUCCCAGGCUUACUCACCCAUUGCAAAUAGUCAGCUGACGGCUCCCAGACCUUCAUGAGAUAAGAUUAAACAAGGAAGCUUCUAGAGUCUAGACUCAAGUUCACUUGGCAUUGCAGAGGGAAGAGUUGAAUGUGAGACUGCAAACUAGGGGAUUAAAAUCUACCUCACUAGCAAUAAGACUUUUAGCCCCCAUCCUCAGUCAAUUUCCCAGGUAUGUCAGAGGCAAAAAUAUAUCCCUUCAUUCAGAAGAUUGGAGGAGUCUUCUCUAGCAGAAGUGAAUGACUCCCAGGUCCUGCAGACACUAAAAUUUGGAUACCCCCAAUGAAAAGUCAGCUUCAUAAUGUGAUUGAUUUAGAGAAGACUGUCAGUCAAGAAGUCCGGUGCCCCUGCUCCAAAUACAAGGAAAUUUUAACCAGCAUUUUAAAUGCCUCUUUUAAAAAUGUGAAAA